UGACAUGAUAUUUCAUCCAAAUUCUGCCAAAAUUUACCAGUUUUUUAUGAGUUUUCAUACCUUCUACUGAAUGAAUUAUAUACGAAUAUUGUCCAAAAGUUCUCUUCUUUCAUCAUCUUCUUCAAAUAAAUCUAUAACGCCUUCUGAAGAAGUAACUAAAUUACAAUCUGAAGUAGAAAAACUUAAGCAAACAAUCGAAUCUUUAAAACAAACUGUAGAAGGAAGAGAUGCCGCUAUCGGAACCCUAGCGCGUGAAAAAGAAAAAUUGUACGUUGAACUUAAGACAGCUCAAAGAACUACCAGAAAUUUACACCAGCAAUUAGAAGACGAAAGAGACAUGCACACGAAAGAAAAGGAAUUUUUAAUUGAUGAAAUCAAAAGAAUCGCAAACAAAAACGAAUCGGAGAGUAAUUACAACUAUUACAAUCAAGGAGAUACAAUUGACAGCAUAAUAAGAGAGGAACUGAGAUCAAAGGAUGAAAUUAUUUGUAACAUUUGUAAUAAAUACUUAAAAAUUAAAGAGAGCAAGAAGGCAUUGCUAAGAAACAUUAAAACACUGCAAAGUGAAAGUCAGAAAGUAGACAUGUGAAAAUAUAAUAUUACUUUUGGAAGAAAAUAAAAAAUCUCUCGAUGAACUAUUAAGAACAUUAGUUGAAUAUGGUAAUGUACCACCAGAUAGUAAAAAGUAUUUUAAGAUCCUUCGUCACAAUGCGAGCCUACAUUACGAAAAUACUCAGCUAAAAGUUCGCUUAACAUCCUCAUUGCAUAAGUUUGCAAAUUAUUUAUGUAAAAAUAUUCAUGCAGAAUACUUAGGAAAAAGAAAAGACAGGACUAAUGCUUUUAAGUAUUCAGAAUUAAUUAUGAGAUAUCACAUUAUGAAAUCGAAUAAUCAUUUGUAUAAUGCCUGCAAAAUUACUUCUUCCAUUAAUAGGUCAAACUCUGACACUUGCUUGGUUCUCCUAAGAAAAUAAGUAAAGUAAUAAAUGAAUUGUAACAGUUUUUUUCUUUACAUUUAUUUAAUUAAAUGAGUUUAAAGAAGGAAUUACAGUAGGUACACACGGCCACACUGUUAACUAUCCAUGUCCGUUUUUGCUCUCACUCUCAUGAAAUGGUGAUUCUUUGCGAUAGAACGAGACGACAUGACACACUGUUGCCGAUGGUACCUAGGCAAUAUUGGACAUAAUACCUAUCUACCAAGAAGGAAAAAGAGGUACAUAUUUUAAUUAAACAAGUUUUCAAUAAUUCUUUCAACUAUUCCAUUAGACCUAUUAGCACUAGCCUUUGUCUUCUUUUUUGCUACGUUGUGUGAAAUGUUAUUGAGAUUAAACCACAGGAAUAAACCGACCAGAGCGCCCUCCUUGAACUGUCAGUAAUUCACGGUUGUUUUGUAUUUUCUUCGUAUUCGGUUAAAGUAAAAAAAAAAAUUGUCUCUGGUUAUUCGGACUGCCAUAUGCAUAAAUUUAUGGUUUCCCUGUAAUUGAGGUAAAUUGUUUUACAAUGACAACAUUUCUGGAAAAGUAAAAUGCACAAUAUUUUUCUUACAAAUAACUAGUGGCACUUUUUGAUCGAAUCAAAAAUAGAAUCCGUUGUAACUACAUACAAAAAAAGAUCUUUCGACACUACAAUUGUCACGUUUUGUCAUGGGGGCUGCUAUCUAAUCAAAAUUCAGCAGUAUUCUAUAGGUAACUAUUCUUUUAGCCUUACUACACGGUGUGUUCGGUGAACUUCGGUGGGAUAUUAUUAAAUAGGUACAUUUUUAUUUAUUUAUUUAUUUAUUUUCCACACUUAUAACUAUCAUUACAGGUUGACGCCUAAUGCGAUAGUAUAACAUACUUUGUUAAAUAAUGCUUAAUCUAAACUUAUAUCUAUAACCAUAUUCUAAUAAUCUUAACAAUAACAAAUCACGUAUAGAGCAGCUAUUGUGAACUCAUUCAGAGAGCAAGCAAAUAAGUCAAUUCGAUCCGCUAACGUAUUAAUAAGGCGCAAUACAUAAUUACAAGACUUGAUCAAUCAACCAUUUUAAGGAAUAAUAAGACUUUUUCUAUGUGAUGUAUAAGUACGCUUUUAAUAUUAUUAUGUUUAGGUAUGUAUUGAUAAGUUAUUAAGCUUGAUCUGUGGUUGACUGGUAGAGAAUGCCACCCGGCAUUAAGUCCGCUACCAUAAAUCACUUUUGUGUGCAAAAGAUUAAAUAAAUACUUAAAUAAAAAGGAAGCUAGAAACAUUGAAUUUUCGGAUAGAUCCAGUUUAUUCUGUAAUUAUUGAUAUCGUUUGAAAGAGCUCGUAAAGCACUUUCACGAUCAGUAUAAUCAGUCAGAUUCUCAAUAUCUUGUAUAGUUUAGAAAUAAUCGAGUGAGAUCACUUAUGGUUUCCACCCUGUAUAAUAAGAUUUUAUUACCGCUUCCUAAAUAAAUGAAACAAUAGGUAUGUAUUUAAUUAUUAUUAUGGUAGGUUUUUAGGUUUAUAGGCAUAUCUACCUAAUACACCCACAUAAUAAUAAAAUAAUAUAAAAACUGGUUUCCUAGGUUUAAUACAUACCUAGAUCUACCUAUCAAAGAACGAUAACACAAAAACAAAGAAAAACGAAGGAAAUACAGGUCCAACAUUACUGUAUUCAACAUAUUUAAAUAUAUUUUCGGCUAGGAUCUACAUUGUUAUUAUUUUUAUAAUUUACUAAACAAAUUAACAUUUAAGUAUGCUUGGGUAAAUAAAGAAAAUACAGCAAAAGCUUGCUGGUUAAUCAUAAAACUCAAAUUGCAUACGAUUUUAUUCUAAUAUUACCUCUACCUAUCUUUCUUCCAUGGAACAUGUACUAAUGUUAAGUUUUUCAAGCUACUACAAACUCUAGUUGUAUUUGUAAAGGCUGUUGAAGUUCAUAUUAAAUAAAUACCACAAAUUUCAUGCCACGUGCUGUUUGUUUUGCGAAGUUUCCCCGCGCUGAGAAAGAGAGAGAGGGUCAUUUGGGGUGGGACUGUCCAUUGUUGCGGUUGCGAAACGUAGU